GACGAACGCUGGCGGCGUGCUUAACACAUGCAAGUCGAACGGAAAGGCCCUGCUUUUGUUGGGUGCUCGAGUGGCGAACGGGUGAGUAACACGUGAGUAACCUGCCCUUUACUUUGUGAUAACUUCAGGAAACUGUGGCUACUACCUGCUAGGAGCUCCUGCUGCAUGGGGGGGGUUGGACAGUUUCGGCGGUUGGGGAUGGACUCGCGGCUUAUCAGCUUGUUGGUGGGGUAGUGGCUUACCAAGGCAUUGACGGGUAGCCGGCCUGAGCGGGUGACCGACGACAUUGGGACUGAGGUACGGCACAGGCUGGUAAGGGAGGCAGCAGUGGGGAAUAUUGCACAAGGGGCGGAGGGCUGAUGAAGAAACGCUGCGUGCUGGAUGACGGCUUUCGGGUUGAAAACCGCUUUCGCCUGAAACGAAGCGUGAGUGACGGUAAUGGGUAGAGAAGCACCGGCUAACUACGUG
rnacentral:rRNA from 1 species